UGGGGAAUAUUGCACAAUGGGCGAAAGCCUGAUGCAGCAACGCCGCGUGAGUGAUGAAGGUCUUCGGAUUGUAAAGCUCUGUCUUUUGGGACGAUAAUGACGGUACCAAAGGAGGAAGCCACGGCUAACUACGUGCCAGCAGCCGCGGUAAUACGUAGGUGGCGAGCGUUGUCCGGAUUUACUGGGCGUAAAGGGUGCGUAGGCGGAUGUUUAAGUGAGAUGUGAAAUACCCGGGCUUAACUUGGGUGCUGCAUUUCAAACUGGAUAUCUAGAGUGCAGGAGAGGAGAAUGGAAUUCCUAGUGUAGCGGUGAAAUGCGUAGAGAUUAGGAAGAACACCAGUGGCGAAGGCGAUUCUCUGGACUGUAACUGACGCUGAGGCACGAAAGCGUGGGUAGCAAACAGGAUUAGAUACCCUGGUAGUCCACGCCGUAAACGAUGAGUGCUAGGUGUAGGAGGUAUCGACCCCUUCUGUGCCGCAGUAAACACAUUAAGUAC
rnacentral:rRNA from 1 species